rnacentral:rRNA from 1 species
AGUGGGGAAUAUUGCACAAUGGGCGCAAGCCUGAUGCAGCCAUGCCGCGUGUAUGAAGAAGGCCUUCGGGUUGUAAAGUACUUUCAGCAGUGAGGAAGGUGGGUAUGUUAAUAGCAUACUCAUUUGACGUUAGCUGCAGAAGAAGCACCGGCUAACUCCGUGCCAGCAGCCGCGGUAAUACGGAGGGUGCGAGCGUUAAUCGGAAUUACUGGGCGUAAAGCGCAUGCAGGUGGUUUGUUAAGUCAGAUGUGAAAGCCCGGGGCUCAACCUCGGAAUUGCAUUUGAAACUGGCAAACUAGAGUACUGUAGAGGGGGUAGAAUUUCAGGUGUAGCGGUGAAAUGCGUAGAGAUCUGAAGGAAUACCGGUGGCGAAGGCGGCCCCCUGGACAGAUACUGACACUCAGAUGCGAAAGCGUGGGGAGCAAACAGGAUUAGAUACCCUGGUAG